UGCCAGCAGCCAGAGAGGCAGGAGCUCCCUAAGGCAGGAUGUGAGGAGAAGCCGAACUGCAGGAUUUAAAGGUAAAUGAUCCUGGCAAGUGGCUUAUGAAAGCUCUGUGACAGAUUGUAGCUCAGCCACCAAUGACCUUUGAACAAGAAUAAUGGGCAAUUGGAUAUAUGCUGAAAAAAAAAGUUACCAACUACCAGCUUGUCAGGAAAGGAUUUGUAGGAAUGUCUGUCACAAAGGAUAAAUUGAAUGGGAACCAAAAGUCAUAUGGCCUAGGGAAAUACAUAAGUACAUACAUCAGAACAGGUACCUGGAUUUGCAAAUGAGGGAGAAAUUACUUUAUUACUACUGAGAAUCCUGAUGAUGUUGAAAGGAUGUGGAAAAAUAUGGAAAACUCAAUUUCAGAUGAUGUCUUGCCUUGCCAUGUCUCUGCUGUACCACUGAUGGACACGUACCUGACUUGUAAAUAUUGGAUUGUUUUGAUCACUAAGGUCAUAGGAUUUCUGUGGUAUAGUAGGUUUUCACAUUAUAUUUUCCCUUCUGGAGAUCUAGAUUUAAAUCUUGGCUCACACUGUAUAUUUGGUGAUUUCAUUCUAUUCCACUUUUGUACACAUAACAAACCAAAUGUACAUCGCAAAAGUCAUGAUUGACAAUUGUUGCUCUGUAAGGCCCAUAGACUGAACUAGCAGGUACCUUGAAGAUCAGAAAUAAGGUUGAUUUGUUAGAGCUGCAUUGAGAAGCUUAUGCAAGGUUUCAGUCCAUUAUGUAGCCCAAGUCUUUGCUGUUAUUUUCCUUAUUUACAUAAGCUCAAGAUUCAUUUGCCUUCCUAAAACAACAAAAAUGCCGGAAUGUAUUCCUUAAACCAUAUGACUUCAAACCUAAGGUGUCAGAGGUUUAAAAAAAUAUAUAUAUCAUUGUUAUAUCACCUCUUUGGUACUGGUACUCUUUGUCUUGGAUUCAUUAAGGCUGUCAGCAGUAAAUCUUCUCCCAAAGAGCAUGUGUCAAUCCACGUUCAACUCAUGAGAAGAAAGACAGUAAUGAGUUUUAGGCACUGGGCAGAGACUUGGACAUCUGGGUACAGAACCCAGAUCAGCUCUGCUGCAGAGAUCCUGCUUGACCUUGGGGAAAUCAUUAAAUCUCUCUGCUUUGGUUUCGCACUGUAAAAGGUGGGAACUAAUAACUUGCUACCUUGAGGGGGCAACAGGAGAAUAAAUUAUUUAAAGUAUCUGUUGUGACCUACCAUGGAAAGAUCUAUAAAUAAUAGCUCUCCUUCUUCGCAUCCUUGCUCUUGGGCUCCCACAGGAUUAUGCUUAUGGCUUUUGUAUAAGGAGAUUCAGUAAUUUCACAAUAAACUUUACUUUGCAUGCAA